rnacentral:misc_RNA from 1 species
AACAUCGCGCACCUGCGGGAACCUGCGGAAGGAUCAUUACAGAGUUGCAAAACUCCCUAAACCAUUGUGAACGUUACCUAAACCGUUGCUUCGGCGGGCGGCCCGGGUCCUUCCCGGCGCCCAUCGGCCCUCGCGGGCGCUCGCCGGAGGUAAACCAAACUAUUGCAUUGUAUGGCCUCUCUGAGUCUUCUGUACUGAAUAAGUCAAAACUUUCAGCAACGGAUCUCAGAUCGGAAGAGC